rnacentral:rRNA from 1 species
UAUGAGACGUGAAGAUGAGUAUCUUGUAAAGAGGGAUAGGAGAAUUGGAGGGCAAGUUUGGUGCCAGCAGCCGCGGUAAUACCGACUCCAAGAGUGUGUAUGAGAGAUGCUGCAGUUAAAAAGUCCGUAGUCAUAGAAGGGCAAAGAGAGAUGCGAGGUCUCACAGUGCGAUGAUGGAGGAGCCGAUGGGGAACAUAGUAUACCAGGGCGAGAGAUGAAAUGCCAAGACCCCUGGUGGACUGAGCGAGGCGAAGGCGAUGUUCUUGUAGGCAUUCGGUGAUCAAGGACGAAGGCUGGAGUAUCGAAAGUGAUUAGAUACCGCAGUAGUUCCAGCAGUAAAAGAUGCCGACAUGCUCAUUGGACACAGUGGGCAGGGAGAAAUCUUAGAGUUCGGGCUCUGGGGAUAGUAUGCUCGCAAGGGUGAAAAUUAAAGAAAUUGACGGAGCUACACCACAAGGAGUGGAUUGUGCGGCUUAAUUUGACUCAACGCGAGGAAACUUACCAGGGCCAAGUAUUGUGUAGAAACGAGCAAUACAGGAGUGGUGCAUGGUCGUUGGAAAUUGAUGGGAUGACUUUGACCUUAAAUGGUUGAAUGAGUGAGAUCUUUUGGACAUGUUCCGCACGGAACAGGAAGGAAAAGGCUAUAACAGAUCCGAGAUGCCCUCAGAUGCCCUGGGCUGCACGCGCAAUACAAUAGCAGGUAGAGAGAGAGACAGGAAGGUGCUCAGAUGGACUAUGUGCUGUAAGGCACAUACGAAAGAGGAAUUCCUAGUAAGUGUGU